rnacentral:rRNA from 1 species
AAAAAGUCCAAGGUUUCCCGGGCCAGGUGAAUCCUCCCGGGGUUAGUCGGACCCUAAGCCGAGGCCGAGAGGCGUAGGCGAUGGAAAACAGGCAUAAAGAUUCCUGUACCACCGUAAGCCAUUUGAGCGAUGGGGUGACGCAGGAGGAUAAAGCAGCUGUCUAUCGGAUGGCAGUCUAAGCGUGCAGGCCGUAGCCCAGGCAAAUCCGGGCUGCAUAAGGCUGAGGCGUUAAGGGACGUGAAUCCUUCGGGUGAAGCGGAUUGCUUGAUUCCACACUGCCAAAAAACCUCUAGUGAGGUGAAGGUGACCGUACCGUAAACCGACACAGGUGGACGAGAUGAGUAUUCUAAGGCGCUCGGGUGAUCCACCCUUAAGGAACUCGACCAAUUAGCCCCGUAACUUCGGAAGAAGGGGUACUCCUGAUGGUGAAAGACUUGCUCUGUAAGCUUUUGGGAGUGGCACUAAAGUGGCUCAGGCGACUGUUUACUAAAAACAUAGGUCUCUGCAAAGUCGUAAGACGACGUAUAGGGACUGACGCCUGCCCAAUGCCGGAAGGUUAAGGGGAGAGGUUAGGCUUCGGCCGAAGCUCUGAACUGAAGCCCCGGUUAAUGGCGGCCGUAACUAUAACGGUCCUAAGGUAGCGAAAUUCCUUGUCGGGUAAGUUCCGACCUGCACGAAUGGCGUAACGAUCUGAGCAUUGUCUCGAGGGUGGGCCCGGUGAAGUUGUAAUACCAGUGGAGAUGCUGGUUACCCGCAAAAGGACGGAAAGACCCCGUGCACCUUUACUACAGCUUGAUAUUGGGUUUAGUUAUUGCUUGUAUAGGAUAGGUGGGAGACAUUGAAGCUGGGACGCUAGUCUCGGUGGAGUCACCCUUGGAAUACCACCCUGGUAAUGAUUGAAUUCUAACUCUGGACCCGUGAAUCCGGGCAGAGGACAGUGUCUGGUGGGUAGUUUGACUGGGGCGGUCGCCUCCCAAAAAGUAACGGAGGCGCCCCAAGGUUCCCUCAGCAUGUUUGGAAAUCAUGCGUAGAGUGCAAAGGCAUAAGGGAGCUUGACUGCGAGACAAACAAGUCGAGCAGGUACGAAAGUAGGGCUUAGUGAUCCAGCGGUUCCGUAUGGAAGGGCCGUUGCUCAUCGGAUAAAAGGUACGCCGGGGAUAACAGGCUGAUAACCCCCAAGAGUUCAUAUCGACGGGGUUGUUUGGCACCUCGAUGUCGGCUCGUCACAUCCUGGGGCUGAAGCAGGUCCCAAGGGUUCGUCUGUUCGCCGAUUAAAGUGGCACGCGAGCUGGGUUUAAAACGUCGUGAGACAGUUUGGUCCCUAUCCUUUGCGGGCGCAGGAAAUUUGAGGGUAGUCGUCCCUAGUACUAA